rnacentral:lncRNA from 1 species
GUUACUCGAAAACGUACAUCAACCUAAAUUUCGGUGGCAAAAUAAGUUUGUUACUUCAUUUAAACGUGAUAAAAGUUGCCUCCAGUAAAUGUUUAAUCCAUUUAUUGCAUUAAAAACGUCAUGUUCCUUUCCAAAUAACUCGUCAAACAUCGUUUAUUUUUGUAAAUUUUCUUGCAUUUGUCCGCCAUUGACCGAUUUCUAAACUACGGAUCUGAACCGGACCAGCUAUGACUGAAAUCCGUACUUUUACAAUAAUUACUACGGACGCACGGAUGGAACAAUAUUGAUCCCAAAGGGAAAAAUUACGCAUUCCACACGCAUUAAGAGACUUUUAGUUACAACUAAUUGAUUGGUGUAUAUAAUUCCCUAUAUUUUUUAUGGAUUGUUUCAAACUAUUGAUUAAAGUUGCUUAACUCUGAGACUAUUAUACUAAUAUCAAUAUAUUAUGGCCCAGC